rnacentral:rRNA from 1 species
GGAUGAAUAUUGGUCAAUGGGCGGGAGCCUGAACCAGCCAAGUCGCGUGAGGGAAGACGGUCCUAUGGAUUGUAAACCUCUUUUGUCGGGGAGCAAAGAGGCCACGUGUGGUCAAAAGCGAGAGUACCCGAAGAAAAAGCAUCGGCUAACUCCGUGCCAGCAGCCGCGGUAAUACGGAGGAUGCGAGCGUUAUCCGGAUUUAUUGGGUUUAAAGGGUGCGUAGGCGGGACGGUAAGUCAGCGGUAAAAAUGCGGAGCUCAACUCCGUCGAGCCGUUGAAACUGCCGUUCUUGAGUGAGCGAGAAGUAUGCGGAAUGCGUGGUGUAGCGGUGAAAUGCAUAGAUAUCACGCAGAACUCCGAUUGCGAAGGCAGCAUACCGGCGCUCAACUGACGCUGAAGCACGAAGGCGUGGGUAUCGAACAGGAUUAGAUACC